rnacentral:rRNA from 1 species
AGUGAACGCUGGCGGUAGGCCUAACACAUGCAAGUCGAACGGCAGCACAGUAAGAGCUUGCUCUUACGGGUGGCGAGUGGCGGACGGGUGAGGAAUACAUCGGAAUCUACUUUUUCGUGGGGGAUAACGUAGGGAAACUUACGCUAAUACCGCAUACGACCUACGGGUGAAAGCAGGGGAUCUUCGGACCUUGCGCGAUUGAAUGAGCCGAUGUCGGAUUAGCUAGUUGGCGGGGUAAAGGCCAACAAAGGCGACGAUCCGUAGCUGGUCUGAGAGGAUGAUACGCCACACUGGAACUGAGACACGGUCCAGACUCCUACGGGAGGCAGCAGUGGGGAAUAUUGGACAAUGGGCGCAAGCCUGAUCCAGCCAUACCGCGUGGGUGAAGAAGGCCUUCGGGUUGUAAAGCCCUUUUGUUGGGAAAGAAAAGCAGCAGGUUAAUACCCCGCUGUUCUGACGGUACCCAAAGAAUAAGCACCGGCUAACUUCGUG